UACGAAGGGGGCGAGCGUUGUUCGGAUUUACUGGGCGUAAAGGGCGCGCAGGCGGUCAUUUUUGUCGAGUGUGAAAGCCCCGGGCUCAACCUGGGAACGGCGCGCGAGACGGGGGGGCUGGAGUUCGGGAGAGGAGGCGUGGAAUUCCCAGGUGUAGAGGUGAAAUUCGUAGAUAUUGGGAAGAACACCGGUGGCGAAGGCGGCGCUCUGGACCGAGACUGACGCUGAGGCGCG
rnacentral:rRNA from 1 species